CAGCAGCCGCGGUAAUACGUAGGGUGCAAGCGUCAAUCGGAAUUACUGGGCGCAAAGCGUGCGCAGGCGGUUCGUUAAGACAGAUGUGAAAUCCCCGGGCUUAACCUGGGAACUGCAUUUGUGACUGGCGGGCUAGAGUAUGGCAGAGGAGGGUAGAAUUCCACGUGUAGCAGUGAAAUGCGUAGAGAUGUGGAGGAAUACCGAUGGCGGAGGCAGCCCCCUGGGCCAAUACUGACGCCCAUGCACGAAAGCGUGGGGAGCAAACAGGAUUAGAUACCCCAGUAGUCCCUGUCUCUUAUAC
rnacentral:rRNA from 1 species